rnacentral:piRNA from 1 species
UAGGACAUGGAGGUGGUCAAGGGUGGU